AAUAUAAAUAAAUAACGUCGUCGUAUAAUGUCGGGGAUAUGGCCCGAGAGUAUCUACCAAGUUACCUUAAAUAACUUGACUACGAUUAAAAGAAUUGGCUUU
rnacentral:ncRNA from 2 species